CACGUAGGGUCCGAGCGUUGUCCGGAAUUACUGGGCGUAAAGGGCGCGUAGGCGGCCGCCUAAGUCAGACGUGAAAUCCCUCGGCUCAACCGGGGAACUGCGUCUGAUACUGGGUGGCUUGAAUUCGGGAGAGGGAUGCGGAAUUCCAGGUGUAGCGGUGAAAUGCGUAGAUAUCUGGAGGAACACCGGUGGCGAAGGCGACAUCCUGGACCGGCAUUGACGCUGAGGCGCGAAAGCCAGGGGAGCAAACGGG
rnacentral:rRNA from 1 species